UGAAAAUAACCUUUUUUUUCCUGUCACAGGUACAUAAAUAAGAACAAUGAAGACGCUUGUAGUCUAAAGGAAGAAAGAGACAAGUGAAGCAAGGAAGAAAGAGAACAUGGUCAGGAAAAGUCUACCCUGUUCCCAGGAGAAUAAGAUCAAGAGAGAAAUAGAUUUCCCAAAUCAGCUCUCCCUGCAACCAAAUGUA
rnacentral:lncRNA from 1 species